UACGUAGGAUGCAAGCGUUAAUCGGAAUUACUGGGCGUAAAGCGUGCGCAGGCGGUCUGCUAAGAGAGGUGUGAAAUCCCCGGGCUUAACCUGGGAACUGCGCUUCUAACUGGCAGGCUAGAGUGUGGCAGAGGGGGGUGGAAUUCCACGUGUAGCAGUGAAAUGCGUAGAGAUGUGGAGGAACACCGAUGGCGAAGGCAGCCCCCUGGGCUAACACUGACGCUCAUGCACGAAAGCGUGGGGAGCAAACAGG
rnacentral:rRNA from 1 species